AGUGAGGAAUAUUGGGCAAUGGACGCAAGUCUGACCCAGCCAUGCCGCGUGCAGGAAUGACGGCCCUAUGGGUUGUAAACUGCUUUUAUAUAGGAAGAAACCCUCCGACGCGUUGGAGGCUGACGGUACUAUAUGAAUAAGCAUCGGCUAACUCCGUGCCAGCAGCCGCGGUAAUACGGAGGAUGCAAGCGUUAUCCGGAUUUAUUGGGUUUAAAGGGUGCGCAGGCGGGCCUAUAAGUCAGUGGUGAAAUCUCUCGGCUCAACCGAGAAACUGCCAUUGAUACUGUAGGUCUAGAGUACAGAUGGGGUAGGCGGAAUGUAGCAUGUAGCGGUGAAAUGCAUAGAUAUGCUACAGAACACCAAUCGCGAAGGCAGCUUACCAAACUGUUACUGACGCUCAGGCACGAAAGCGUGGGGAGCGAACAGGAUUAGAUACCCUGGUAGUCCACGCCGUAAACGAUGAUUACUAGUUGUUGGCGAUAAACAGUCAGUGACUAAGCGAAAGUGAUAAGUAAUCCACCUGGGGAGUACGAUCGCAAGGUUGAAACUCAAAGGAAUUGACGGGGGCCCGCACAAGCGGAGGAGCAUGUGGUUUAAUUCGAUGAUACGCGAGGAACCUUACCCGGGCUUAAAUGUAGGUUGCAUGAGAUGGAAACAUUUCUUUCCUUCGGGACUACUUACAAGGUGCUGCAUGGUUGUCGUCAGCUCGUGCCGUGAGGUGUCGGGUUAAGUCCCAUAACGAGCGCAACCCUCAUUCUUAGUUGCCAGCGGAUAAUGCCGGGGACUCUAAGGAAACUGCCGGCGCAAGCCGAGAGGAAGGUGAGGAUGACGUCAAAUCAGCACGGCCCUUACGUCCGGGGCUACACACGUGCUACAAUGGCCGGUACAAAGGGCAGCUACCCCGUGAGGGGAUGCAAAUCUCAAAAGCCGGUCUCAGUUCGGAUCGGAGUCUGCAACUCGACUCCGUGAAGUUGGAUUCGCUAGUAAUCGUAUAUCAGCAAUGAUACGGUGAAUACGU
rnacentral:rRNA from 1 species